CUCCCUGGAAGUGAAACUUUUUAAUUCAGGCUUUGCUGAGUUUCAGCGGGCAAACACGGCUGUGGGACAUGUUCCAGGCAGGGAGGGAAGCAAGCACCAAAACAAGCCGGGCGUCCCUGUUAUCAGCAUGCGUAAGGGCAAGUAAACAGCCGAAACCGCACAUGGUAUCUGCCAAACAAGCGGCUGGAGGAAGAACAGCCUUGUUUCCUGUUGCUGGAAGGCCGGGUUGUCAUAUCCUUACCCAGCUAUUUUAAAUUGCUUUUUGUUUGCUUCCUGCGGCUUAAGGUAAAAGCAGAAACCUGAGGAGCGCUGGUGGCUGGUGCGUCCCGUCCGGGCUGCGCUGUGUGGCACAGCCCAAGGACCAGACCUGUGCCUGCUGCAGUCAUCCAAAAGCUUCUCCUUCUGCUUUAAAAUCUGAAUUACGGAGCUGCCCCCCUCGCCCUGUCUUGAGCGUGUUGCAGCGCUGGGGUUUCUCGUCGUGUCACCUUUGGCGCGAGGUCUGGCAGUGGUUUUGUGCAGGAAGCGACUGAGGUGCUGAGAAAGGGUCGACGUGAGAUCCCGGGUGAUGGGUUAAACCCAAAAUUUUUUGCCCCUCUACCGGUGUCGGACCUCCGAGGGGCUGCGUGGCUCCUGGCUGGCUCCAGCACAUUGGAGCCAGGAGUGAAACGGUCCCUUUCCAGCAUGGGAAUGGGAUUUUAUUGCGAGAAAAGGAUUGUCCCUUCUUAUAUGAUAAAUCUGCGAGAGGAGAGAAGGGUCCUGGCUGGCAGACGUUGUCCUGAGCCUGCUCGGUUGCAAAGACAAAGGCUUGAAGACACUUUUCCCACCUCCCAGCCCGACGGCAGGACUGUGCAGGGCAGCUGGGAGGAGUUCCUCGUUGUGGGGACCGGUUUCCUCGACCUCUUUUGAUAGACAAGAGGUCCUCUGUGCUGUGGCAAAUAACACCGUGCCUGGGAGAGUGAGUGGCCGUGCUGCAGCAUCCUUCUCGCAGAAAAAGAGGCUUUGGUGGAACGGCUGGAUCCUCACGGAAGUUUAAUCCUUAUCUCCCUGUACUGCCUCUGUCCUCGCAUCCCUCCCGGGGGCUAAUUAUUUAUAUCCGAAUAGAAUAAGCUAAAACCUCCUGCUGGGGUUUGGCACUUUGGAGGUCCUGGGCUGCCUGGUGCCAAGAGGGAUAGUGUAAGCCACAGUGCAGGCAAGGAUGGAGCGCGCUGUUGGAAAGGAGGAUCCCGUGGUGCCGGACUUGGUGACGUGGAUGGCUCUCCUGGGACCCGUAGGUUUUUGUGGAGUGGUUUAUUCUCCAAGGUGGGAUCUUGUUCCCACCAAGGUGGGAUCUGUUCCUGCUGUCUGAAAGUUUCUGGGAUUUGGACAGGAGCAGGGAUGCUAACACAGUCGUUUGUAAGGUCUGUAGGACAGAGUGCUCCAGUUGAGCUCUGAUUUAUUUAACUUAUUUAUUAAAUAUCCUUAGGGUAUUUUUUAAUUUUUCUAGGUUUUUUUAGCACUGAAAGACCAGCCUUGCCUCCUCGCUGGCAGCACAGCGACCACCUUCCACUGCAUCACACCCCAGCCUUUUAAAGUGCUUUUAAAGCACAGUGUCUGUGCCCCCACUUCUCACCCUCCAAAAAAAAAAUAAAAUCAUUGUUGCUGCAGAAGCUGAAUUGGAAGCUCAUGGUGUGCAAACUUCAGCGGAGCAGCAGUUUUGUAAGCAACGCUGGUAAAUCCCUGAGUGUUCCGCACUAACUGUCCACGGCGCACACUGGUGCUGCAGGCUGCGGUCAGGCUGUUUGAAUUGUGUUGCCUGUCCGUAAUCGAGCGUUUUGCAUAUUCCUGACACGCUAAUUAGCAGCACCUAGUGUGAGGAUUGCAGGUAAAAUUUAGAUGAGAGCGUCGAAGUCCGUGUACCAGCAGAGCUUUCAAACCACUGCGUCCUCUCCCCCUUCACCACCCAGAUCUGCCGGGGCUGGCGUUUGCGCCCUGGCUGCUGGAAUCUGGUUUGUAAUUUUGGAUUACGUCGUUGGUUCGAUUUCUUUUGCAGUCUGAGCGACUGAUUUGUGCUGCUUAUGGAAGUCGAAGGGACUCUUCUCUCCUUAGCUUGCUGAUGGCUUGCUGAAAUAGUGUUUAUUCUGUCUUGUUCUGGUUUGGGUGAGGUUUUUUCUCAGCGUGGCAGAAGCACCCAGCAGUGCUGGCAGGUGAGGAGCUGUGAAGGAACCUUCAAACUUGUCACCCUGGGCUUUGGGUCGGGCCAUCUGCCUCUGGAUUGAAGGGAUUUUAGUUAAACAGAUUUGCAGGUAAGUCACCUUUUCAUUCCAUUGUGGUCAGGCUUUGUUCUAGUACGCAAAAUAAGCAUUUUUAACCUUUGCAGUUCUCAUUGUUGGGUUUCGCUGCAUAAAAAUCCUGGAGUUUUAUAAAAUUGUAAUUAAGUCAAGGUUUUGGGGAGGCCAGCAGCAGUCAGAGGCACUGAACCCCAGGGUCUCACACGGCAUUGGGAUCUUGUUCCGUAUUUUGAAAGGAGCUGGUGCGUUUGGACACUUGGGGUAAUCAGUAGGUUAUGGUCACAUUUGGUUUUCACGCUUAGGACAGCUGUAUUGGAAGAGAAAACUGCAGAAUUUAUCUGGGAUCACAAACCUCGAUCCUGAACUCGGAAUCGUUUCCCUCUCACUCUGCCCUACAGUGAGACGGAUCCGACGGAGUUUUGCUUCUUGGCUUUGCGUGGCCUUUGUUUAUCCCACCAGGAUUAAGAAGACCGAUUUCUGUCUAAGGCUUUUUGCAGGAAACCUGCUUGCUUCACAAAACUCAGAGGCGUUUGCGUGGCAAGGGGACUAGCGCUGGCAGAAAGCAAACGGCUUCCAAUUAGCGAAAAUAUAUCGGAAGCGGAUGAAAGUCUAACCACUAUCUCAGCAUACGUGAUGCAUGGAGAAGAGGUAGCCAAGUUCUUUAGCUCUCUUCAAACUGGAUUUUACUGUGUCAGGGGAUUUACUGCGGUGGGGGUGUUGCUUUCUGGUGGAUGUCUGUCUUCUAUCAGUAGAAGAGAUCGUGUCCCCUGUAGGGCAUCUAUCACCGUCACAGCGUAAAGCACCCUGUCAAUGAAACGCUUUGGUUGCUCGAAAUUGCAUCCAUAUACAGUGUUUUACCAACCUAGAAAUAUCGAUUGGGGAAAUCAAUUUUCCCCCGUGCUCGUGGUACAGCAGCAUCGCUAAAACUUUGCAUGGAGCUGGUGUUUGCAGAAUCCUUGGGAGCUUCGAGCAAAGCACCCCUGCAGGCGUGGGGCAGCGGAGGGCACGGAGCAAUAAAAGCUGGCAACUUGUUCUUAAUUUAUUCAGGCUACAUUUGCUAGGUGGGUGAUGGGGCGUUGUUCACGCUGGUGUUUGACCUUGCGGCUUUUUCUAGUUUGUUUGCACCAUGAGGACCUAGGAAGAGCUCCAGUCCUGUUUCCAGCAGUGAGGUAUGGCUAAAGGGACAGCAGGGAAGGAAAAGCUUUGUCCUGGCCAAGAUGGUUUACGAAAACAAGUCCCUUGCUCAUAAGCAGAGACUGAAGACUGACUUCUAAGCGCUUGAAAUCUGCCAGAUACUCAAGACUGCCUUGGUUUUCUGGCAGAGAAAGAGGAGGAAAGGCUGUUUGUCCUCCUUAUCUCUGGGCCCAGGAGCUCCUGGGGCUGAGCUGUGUAAUCUUCUUCAACAACGAGAUUACUGAGGCUUUUCCUUAUAUUUCAGUGUCUCUGCUUGGUGGGACUGCUGCUGAGCCUGUCCUUGGCCGUACCUGCCUCCCCCUGUCUCCCCUCCAGUCCCUCUGUUCCGGGUUCAGUGCUGUAACGCCCCAUUUGGGGUAAAAUCCACGGUAAACGUGGUCGUUGCUCUUCUGCUGUGGUCAGGGUUAAGAGGUGCCCCUGGGGUUUAGCUGCCUUUUAUCCAUGCAGCUGUUUUCCAAGCUGCUAGUUGUGUUUUGCAAAUUCACGAGACAAAUAUUGCCUGUCUGUAAAGAUAAAUUGCUGCAAAUUGAAAUAUGUUUGUUGGUUUGGUUUUUUUUUUCCCACUUGGACAGAAAAACCAUCCUUGGAAUGCAUAUGGGCAGGAGAAUGAACCAGCCACGGUUUAUCCCUGGAUGCGUGCAGUGGCACAGGGAGGAUCAGAGCCAUGAAGCCACCGCAGAAGAUGGCGAAGGCCACCGCGUAGGUCAUGAGCAAGGGGAAGGUGGUGGCCAGAGGACAGAGCAGGUUGGUGAUGCCACCCAGGACCAGGUAAGCCACGUGGUAGUGAUACUUCUUGGUCCAGUUCUGGUCGGCGACCCAGCCCGAGAGCAGCUGGCUGACAGUCUCUGUGAUGCCUGGGGGGAAGAGGAGUUCACUGGAGCCUCAAAGAAGAAUUUGUUUUCAUUUUUUUUUUUCUCUUUUGCACUGCUCUGCUCUGAAGCGCCUCCCAAUUCCACCUGCCGCUCGCUCUAAGAGCGUGACUGCAAAGGGCCGAGGUGCUGGGAAGUUACACGAGAAGGCAUUUUUAGCCUGUUGUAAAAUUCAUACUAUUAUUUAUUUUUUUUCUUUACCUCGGUGCCUGCUGUUGCCAAGUGCCUGUGGGUGCACCAAAGUGGUCUGUAAAAAUUCAAUUAAGGGCUGUGCACUCAGCAGAAAAUUCUGAAAUGCCCUUCAGUGAAAAUAAGCUCACUGUUUGAUCUCUUUUUCAAGAUAGAGAAAAAGCAGAAUAUUGAGCAGAAAUAUGCUUAUGACAUUUUAAUUUUUAUAAAGAAGCAAAGGCGUACAGAAGCCUGGCAUUAUUUCUAAAGGCUCAGCAAACUUUUGAUACUUGGUUAUUACAUUUCUUGAUACAUUUUUAUGAACUAAAGAUCAGAGGAGUGCUCGCUGCCAGCUAAUAUCUUGCUGACCGCUGUGUCCCUCCUACUCUUAAUUCAAAAUGUCAGAUUCAUUGCUGCACUCUCCUUUUGGAUGCCUUGACAGCGUACGUCAUUUCUAAAUAUUAUACAGCAGUGUAGAAGUAAGAUUUAUUUUUGUACAAUAAAAUAUUUGAUGAUGAC